rnacentral:rRNA from 1 species
GCAGCGGCGGACGGGUGAGUAACACGUGGAUAACCUACCUAUAAGACUGGGAUAACUUCGGGAAACCGGAGCUAAUACCGGAUAAUAUAUUGAACCGCAUGGUUCAAUAGUGAAAGACGGUUUUGCUGUCACUUAUAGAUGGAUCCGCGCCGCAUUAGCUAGUUGGUAAGGUAACGGCUUACCAAGGCAACGAUGCGUAGCCGACCUGAGAGGGUGAUCGGCCACACUGGAACUGAGACACGGUCCAGACUCCUACGGGAGGCAGCAGUAGGGAAUCUUCCGCAAUGGGCGAAAGCCUGACGGAGCAACGCCGCGUGAGUGAUGAAGGUCUUCGGAUCGUAAAACUCUGUUAUUAGGGAAGAACAAAUGUGUAAGUAACUAUGCACGUCUUGACGGUACCUAAUCAGAAAGCCACGGCUAACUACGUGCCAGCAGCCGCGGUAAUACGUAGGUGGCAAGCGUUAUCCGGAAUUAUUGGGCGUAAAGCGCGCGUAGGCGGUUUUUUAAGUCUGAUGUGAAAGCCCACGGCUCAACCGUGGAGGGUCAUUGGAAACUGGAAAACUUGAGUGCAGAAAAGGAAAGUGGAAUUCCAUGUGUAGCGGUGAAAUGCGCAGAGAUAUGGAGGAACACCAGUGGCGAAAGCGACUUUCUGGUCUGUAACUGACGCUGAUGUGCGAAAGCGUG